rnacentral:rRNA from 1 species
CCUACGGGAGGCAGCAGUAAGGAAUAUUGGACAAUGCUCGCAAGAGUGAUCCAGCCAUGCCGCGUGCAGGAAGACGGCCCUAUGGGUUGUAAACUGCUUUUGAACUAGAGAAAACCCUUCUACGUGUAGAAGGCUGAUAGUAUAGUUAGAAUAAGCAUCGGCUAACUUCGUGCCAGCAGCCGCGGUAAGACGAAGGAUGCAAGCGUUAUCCGGAUUCAUUGGGUUUAAAGGGAGCGUAGGUGGACUGAUAAGUCAGUGGUGAAAUCUCCGUCGUACCGUAACGAAGUAAGUCGACU